rnacentral:lncRNA from 1 species
GCUGAAUGUUUGUAUGUCCUCACUCUCACAUUCGCAUGUGACAGCCCUAGUGCCCAGUGUGCAGAUGGGGCCAUCAUGGAAUUAAAUCAGGUUAAAUGAGGCCAUGUGGGCAAGACCCUGAUCUAUAGGAUAGUGUCCUUAGAAGAAGAGAUGCCAGAGAACUUGCUUCUUCUUCCUGUGUGCACAGACAAGAGGUCCUCUGAGCACACAGAGGGCAGAAACCUGCAGGCCAAUAGAGGAAGCACAGGGUGAAACCCACCUUGAUCUUGGACUUCCCAGCCACCAGAACUAUGGGGAAUGACUUUCUGAAGUUGAAGCCACUCCGUCAGUGGUAUUUCCUUAUUGCAGCCAAGAACAUCAUUACAGUCAUAUAGUUAGCCUUCCAUCUAAAAAUACUGGCACUAAAUCUUAGCACAGGAUGGGAUUGUAGCUCAGGGGCAGAGUGCAUGCUUAGCAAUUGUGAGACCCAAUGUAAAGCUCCAGCACCAGAAAAAGACAACAAAAACCACAAUAACAACAAAAAUCAUUGACAAUGUUAAUGCAAUUAUUUAUUUGCUUUAUUCUGGUCCAAACAUUCUGAAAGGUUGUUCUAAGCACUAGCCAGAAAAUAUCUGCAUAACUGAUGGGAAUUUGGAAUAUUACGUGACUAAUAUUUCACUUACUGUGAAUGUAUUCCCAUGUUAUAACCUUUGAGCUUCUCUGCCUGUUGUUCUCCCAUCUGUGUUUACUCAAGGAUUCUAGGAGCUCUCCUUGAAAUCCUAGGCUCCUCUAGUUUCAGCAAAAUAGGGAGGAAAAUAUUUCUUAUUUCUUUCUGAGUGCAUUAAAUAAGAUACAACUGAGGCCCAUCUCAUAGGUCCUGCCUCAGCCCCGGGGUCAUCCAUUUCUCCGUGGAGCUCUGCAUCCUUCAGUGGAGAAUGGUAGCAGAAAC